AACACCGGACGGUCCCGCACACAGUGGUUUACGAAGACAAAAAUAUUACAGUUGAACUCGAUAACAUCCAUGAAAAAGAACCGGGAGAGGUGGAAGGCAACGCAGCACUACUACACAACCAACUAAUACUAAACACAGGGAACCAAGGAAAAGAGGAAGCUGCGUAGCGGAUACACACACACAGGUUUUCCUUUAUUUUAGAAAAAUAGACAUACGCAAAUAAAAUCCCCGUAAAAUAAAUAUAAACAUAUAUAUACGAAGAAGCCCCGUACAUACAUACAUACAUUUACUAACACACAAACAUAGAUACAUACAUAGUAUCAAAUAUUUUAACACAGCAUAUAAUAUUCCUAUACUACAAAAAUACACAUACAUAUUAUUAAUAUAGACAUAUAUAUAAUUACAACUUAAGAAAUUAUUACAACCUAUAUACAUACCAUUACCAUACCCUUAUAUAUAAGUUUUUCGCGAUUAUUUGCAAACGUAAAUAUAAAUUCCUUUAAAAAAAGAAGCCACCACUAGUAACACAGUUAGGGGCAGACUAGGGCUAAGGAGCGGGUCUAGACUGUCCGAGAUAAGAGAAGCGGUAGUAAGGAAAGAAAAGCGGAUGAAGCGCUGAGUGUUUGUGAUGUACUCCUCAGUUGGGAUGACAUCAAAAUAAAUCUUAAGCGACUAUACUCUAGCAAGAAAACUGAAGAAAUGCUUGUUAGAGAGCUACACAACCUUCCGGACGGACUCAGUAUGGGAAAACUAUAUUUUACAGCCACGAAAAUAAGAAGCGAAUUAAUGUCACUGGCCAGAGAAGCAGACCCAAGUGGACACUCCCUCACGGCCAAACGUGACCAAUAUGACAGAUUCUGCCUGAAUACAUUUUUAGUUGGAUUAAAGGACCCACUUAGGUCAGCCAUCAGGAACCAAAGGCCAGAGACAAUCGAGAAAGCGUACGAGUACGGGCAGAUUGAAAUAAACUUCUCUAAAAACUUGAAUAAAAACCAAGAAAACCGACUUCGCAACAGCUCGAUGUACAGGAAUCACCCAUACGCGUUAUGGACAACGUCUUAGGUGACUUAGUCGGUAACGUCUGUCUCGUCUAUCUCGACGACAUAAUAGUAUUCUCACCGUCACUCCAAAAACAUAUAUCAGAUAUUAAAUCUGUUUUCACAAAACUCCAAAACGCAAAUUUAAAAAUCCAACCGGGCAAGUGUAAUUUUUUAAGGAAGGAAAUCGACUUCCUCGGACACAUUGUCACCCAAGAAGGAGUCAAACCCAACCCACUUAAGAUUCAAGCCAUCAAGGAUUUUCCCUGCCCAAAGACAUCUAGGGAAAUUAAAUCAUUUUUAGGACUAUUAGGGUAUUACAGAAAAUUCAUAAAGGACUUCGCAAAAAUAACUAAACCCAUAACGAGACAGUUAAAAGGAAAAAAAAUCUAUAAUAAUAGACGAUGAAUUUAAACAAGCAUUCGAAACGUCGAAAGACCUUCUUUGUAACGACCCCAUACUCAUAUACCCUGACUUUAACAAACCGUUCACGUUGACCACAGACGCAAGCAAUUAUGCGAUUGGCUCUCUGCUGUCACAAGGCCCAGACACUAAUGACAGACCCAUAUCUUUCGCUAGCAGGACAUUAUCGGACACGGAAAUCCGCUAUUCCACGAUAGAGAAAGAAAUGCUAGCAAUCAUUUGGUCUGUGGGUCAUUUUAGACCAUACCUUUUCGGGCGUAGAUUCAAAAUAGUCACGGACCACAAGCCAUUAAUAUGGCUAGAAAAUCUGAAAGGCCAGAAUCCAAAACUACUCCGAUGGAAAACUAUCCUGGCGUCUUACGACUAUGAAGUCGUAUACAAAAAAGGGUCGCAAAACGUAGUCGCCGAUGCACUCAGCAGAAUCGAGCCAAAUUUAAACAUAAACGAAGACCCACAAAUUAUACCGAUCGUUUCACAACCAAUAAAUCAUUUCAAUAAUCAAAUAAUAUUUCGUACCGGUUCAACAACUUCAAGACAAGUAGAAACACUAUUUGUACAUAAAACAAGACACACAAUCACAGAACCCGUGCAUACUUUCGACUCCGUUACAAACACUCUUCAAAAAAUCCUGAAGCCCAAUAAAACAUUUGCAAUAUUUGCACCAGACGAUAUUUUCAAAAUAAUAGAAGAGUCCUAUAAUAACUAUUUUUUCGAAAAUGACUUGUACAAAAUUUCCCGCUGCAAAAUAUGGCUAACCGAUAUCACUAAUCCCCACGACCAAGAAAACAAAAUUCGUGCAUACCACUUUAAUACCAAUCAUAGGGGGAUAGAUGAAACAUAUAACCAUUUAAAAAGAGACAUUUAUUUUCCACAUUUAAAAGACAUUAUCACAAAAAUUAUAAAAAAAAUUGCGAUACCUGCUUAACCCUCAAGUACGAUAGACACCCCCAUAGACCAUUAAUGCAAGCCCCAACAGCCCCAGAGGGACCAUUGGCGGUCGUGCAUAUAGACAUAUACUUCAUUAACAAUACUUGUAACCUCACCAUUAUAGACAAAUUCUCCAAGCUAGCGCAAGCCUACCCCCUUAGCAAUAGGAAUUCAAUAAAAAUCGCCGACGCCCUGUUACAAUUCAUAAGUCAUUACGGCACACCAAAGGAAAUAAUUUUCGACCAGGGAGCGGAAUUUUCGGGGAGUUUAUUCAACGACCCCUUAUCCCAAUUUCAAAUAAGAGCUCAUACAACUUCAUUUCAACAAUCAACGGGCAACGCUUCUGUCGAAAGACUGCAUUCCACCUUAACCGAACUAUACAGGAUAAUCAUGAACAAAAGAAAGGAAGCACGUCUUGAAUGCGGGCAUGACCAAAUACUCACAGAAGCAGUUGCAACAUAUAACAAUGCAAUACACUCAAGCACUUCCUAUACCCCUUUCGAGCUCUUCCACGGAAGAACUCACAUAUUCAAUAAAACAAUAACAUUCGACAAUCACCACGAUUACCUUAAGAAAUUAAACGAAUUUAGAAAAGACAUAUACCCAAAAGUACAGGAACAUUUAAAUGCGACCACAGAAAGGAGAUUGACUAAAUUAAAUGAGGACAGAGAGACACCAGUCCAAGUCGAACCUAAUGAUACGGUAUUUAGAAAAGAAAACCGUAGAAACAAGUUAACACCUAGAUUUUCACUACAUAAAGUAGAUAGAGACAAAGGUACCACCAAAGACUAUAGAAUAUCAAGAUGUUGCAUGACCUCAAAAAAAUCGUUCUAUGGUGGGUCUUGAUAUGGAGACCCACAUGACUUUGCACUUUUAAAGGCAGCUAAGACCAUAUACUCAGUUAGUUCGCCGCGCUUCAUGAAGCCCGGUGGUGUUGUGGUAGAUGCUAUGCCUCGUGUACAUGAAGGCCCGGGUUCGUAUCCUCGCCGAGCCCAGCCAUA